UACGUAGGGUGCGAGCGUUAAUCGGAAUUACUGGGCGUAAAGCGUGCGCAGGCGGUUAUGUAAGACAGGUGUGAAAUCCCCGGGCUUAACCUGGGAACUGCAUUUGUGACUGCAUAGCUAGAGUACGGUAGAGGGGGAUGGAAUUCCGCGUGUAGCAGUGAAAUGCGUAGAUAUGCGGAGGAACACCGAUGGCGAAGGCAGUCCCCUGGGCCUGUACUGACGCUCAUGCACGAAAGCGUGGGGAGCAAACAGG
rnacentral:rRNA from 1 species